rnacentral:misc_RNA from 1 species
GAUGAAGAACGCAGUGAAAUGCGAUAAGUAAUGUGAAUUGCAGAAUUCAGUGAAUCAUCGAAUCUUUGAACGCACAUUGCGCCCGCCAGUAUUCUGGCGGGCAUGCCUGUCCGAGCGUCAUUUCAACCCUCGAACCCCUCCGGGGGGUCGGCGUUGGGGAUCGGCACUUACCUGCCGGCCCCGAAAUACAGUGGCGGUCUCGCCGCAGCCUCUCCUGCGCAGUAGUUUGCACACUCGCACCGGGAGCGCGGCGCGUCCACGGCCGUAAAACAACCCAAACUUCUGAAAUGUUGACCUCGGAUCAGGUAGGAAUACCCGCUGAACUUAAGCAUAUCAAUAAGCGGAGGA